rnacentral:rRNA from 1 species
CAAAGAGGGGGACAACAGUUGGAAACGACUGCUAAUACCGCAUAAGCCCACGGCUCGGCAUCGAGCAGAGGGAAAAGGAGUGAUCCGCUUUGAGAUGGCCUCGCGUCCGAUUAGCUGGUUGGUGAGGUAACGGCCCACCAAGGCGACGAUCGGUAGCCGGACUGAGAGGUUGAACGGCCACAUUGGGACUGAGACACGGCCCAGACUCCUACGGGAGGCAGCAGUGGGGAAUAUUGCACAAUGGGGGAAACCCUGAUGCAGCGACGCCGCGUGGAGGAAGAAGGUCUUCGGAUCGUAAACUCCUGUUGUUGAGGAAGAUAAUGACGGUACUCAACAAGGAAGUGACGGCUAACUACGUGCCAGCAGCCGCGGUAAAACGUAGGUCACAAGCGUUGUCCGGAAUUACUGGGUGUAAGGGGAGCGCAGGCGGGAGAACAAGUUGGAAGUGAAAUCCAUGGGCUCAACCCAUGAACUGCUUUCAAAACUGUUUUUCUUGAGUAGUGCAGAGGUAGGCGGAAUUCCCGGUGUAGCGGUGGAAUGCGUAGAUAUCGGGAGGAACACCAGUGGCGAAGGCGGCCUACUGGGCACCAACUGACGCUGAGGCUCGAAAGUGUGGGUAGCAAA